rnacentral:rRNA from 1 species
UUUGCAGUUGCAAUCAGCGUCUGAAAAAACAUAAUAGUUACAACUUUCAACAACGGAUCUCUUGGUUCUGGCAUCGAUGAAGAACGCAGCGAAAUGCGAUAAGUAGUGUGAAUUGCAGAAUUCAGUGAAUCAUCGAAUCUUUGAACGCACAUUGCGCCCCUUGGUAUUCCAUGGGGCAUGCCUGUUCGAGCGUCAUUUG